AUACGGAGGAUGCAAGCGUUAUCCGGAUUUAUUGGGUUUAAAGGGUGCGUAGGCUGUGGGGAAAGUCAGGGGUGAAAGCCCGGCGCUUAACGCCGGAACUGCCUUUGAUACUUCUCCGCUGGAAUACGGAUGCCGUGGGAGGAAUGAGCAGUGUAGCGGUGAAUGCAUAGAUAUUACUCAGAACACCGAUUGCGAAGGCAUCUCACGAAUCCGUCAUUGACGCUGAGGCACGAAAGCGUGGGGAUCAAACAGGAUUAGAUACCCUGGUAGUCCACGCAGUAAACGAUGAUAACUAACCGUCGGCGAUACACAGUCGGUGGCCAAGCGAAAGCGAUAAGUUAUCCACCUGGGGAGUACGUUCGCAAGAAUGAAACUCAAAUGAAUUGACGGGG
rnacentral:rRNA from 1 species